AGUGAACGCUGGCGGUAGGCCUAACACAUGCAAGUCGAACGGCAGCACAGUAAGAGCUUGCUCUUACGGGUGGCGAGUGGCGGACGGGUGAGGAAUACAUCGGAAUCUACUUUUUCGUGGGGGAUAACGUAGGGAAACUUACGCUAAUACCGCAUACGACCUACGGGUGAAAGCAGGGGAUCUUCGGACCUUGCGCGAUUGAAUGAGCCGAUGUCGGAUUAGCUAGUUGGCGGGGUAAAGGCCCACCAAGGCGACGAUCCGUAGCUGGUCUGAGAGGAUGAUCAGCCACACUGGAACUGAGACACGGUCCAGACUCCUUCGGGAGGCAGCAGUGGGGAAUAUUGGACAAUGGGCGCAAGCCUGAUCCAGCCAUACCGCGGUGGUGAAGAAGGCCUUCGGGUUGUAAAGCCCUUUUGGUGGGAAAGAAAAGCAGCAGGUUAAUACCCCGCUGUUCUGACGGUACCCAAAGAAUAAGCACCGGCUAACUUCGUG
rnacentral:rRNA from 1 species